UGCAUGUGCAAUAUGUGUAUUUUCCAAUCUUGUUGCAUUUAAUGCUAUUUGAAUUUUGUGCAGGAAUUUAUGACUGCAGUAGAUAUUUUUUGCCAAAAACAAACCAAAGAGAAAAAAUUAAUAAUCAUAUUUUAUCUUACUAUAAUAGGAUUAGGAGCACAAAAAAUAAAUCACUGCCUGGAAUGUAUCAGGCAAAAGAAUUCAAAAGAUUAAUAUGGAACAGACUCAUAGUACUAGAAAAAAUAAUCAAGUAUCUGGAUGUUGAUCAUGAUAAUGUUUGUCAUAUUUAUUAUUUGCAAAAUUUCCACUAAGCACAAUAUUCUACUGAUUCCUUCCCCAUUGCAUUUAUUAGAUUUCACAAUUUGUUAAUAUUUUUAUUUCUAG
rnacentral:lncRNA from 1 species